UGAUGAUCUAUCAUCAUUUAUUGUUUCAUUUUUUAUAGCAUUUUUAUUGCUGAGUGUUAUUCUAUGGUGUGGAUGCACCACAGUUUAAUCAUUUACCUAUUGAGGGUUUUCUGGUUUUGUGUUUCCAGGUUUUUUGCUAUUACAAAUAAAACUGCUGUGAACAAUUAUGUAUAGGUUUUUGUAUGGACUUAAGUUUUCAUUUCUCUGGGAUGAAUGCCCAGGAGUACAAUUGUUAUUGCAGGAUAAAUGAUGUUUACUUUUUAAAAGAAAUUGCCAAACUAUUUUCCCGAGUGGCUGUACCAUUUUACAUUCCCACCAGCAAUGUAAAAGAGACCCAGUUACCACACUUCAUCACCAGCACUUGGUAUUGCCAUUAAUUUUUAUUUUAAUUAUACUAAUAGAUGUGUAAUAAUGUCUCAUCAUGGUCUUAAUUUGCAUUUCUCUAAUGCAUAGUGAUAUCGAACAUCUUUUACAGGUUUAUUUUGCAUUUAUAUACACCAGUAAGUAAAAUGUCUCUACGUUUUGCUCAUUUUUAAAUUGGAGUGUUUGGUAUUUUACUGCCGAAUUUUGAAAGUUCUUCAUGUAUCUCAAUUGAGUCCUUUGUCAGACAGAUAACUUGCAAAUAUUUUCUCCCACUCUGUAGCUUGUCUUUUCAUCAUCUUAACAGUCUUUCACAGAGAAAAUUUUUAAAAUUUUGAUGAAGUCCAAUGUAUCAACUUUUUUCAUAGAUGGACCAUGCAUUUGGUGUCCUGUCCAACAACUUUUUUACCAAGGCCUAAGUCCUGAAGAUUUCCUCCUACUCUUUUUUCUAAAAUGUUUUUAGUUUUACAUUUAAAUCCUCGAGCCAUUUUGAUGGGGUUUUUUGUGUAAGGAGUAAGGUUUAGAUGAAGGUUAAUUUUUUUUUUUUGCCUAUGAAUAUCCAAAUAUUCCAGCCCCUGGUGUUGAAAAGAUCCAUCUUUUACUAAUGUGCUUUUGCAUGUUUGUAAAAAAUCAGUUGAUGGGCCAGCCCAUUAGUGGUUAAGUUCAGUGUGCUCUGCCUCAGCAACCUGGGUUUGGCUCCCGGGCACAGACCUACACCACUUGUCUGUCAGUGGCCAUGUUGUGGCAGUGGCUCACAUACGAAAAAAUGAAGCUUGGCAGCAGAUGUUAGUUCAGGGUGAAUCUUCCUCAGCAAAAAAUAAAUAAAUAAAUAAAAAACAGUUGGCCGUAUUUCUGUGGGACUAUUUCUGGGUUCUCCAUUUGUUCCAUUGAUCAAUUGUUCCAUUGGUCUAUUAAUUUUGUUCCAUUGAUCUAUCCCACCAUCAAUAUCACACAUUACAGUCUUAAUUACUGUAGCUAUCCAUUAAGUGUUGAAAUUGGGUAGAGUGACUUUUUGUUUUAUUUUUUAUUUUCAAAAUAGUUUGGCUAUUCUAGUUCCUUUGCCUGUCCAUAUAAAUGUUAGAAUAAUCUUGCUUAUAUCCUCAAAACAACCUUGCUGGUAUUUUGAUAGGAAUUGUGUUCAACUUGGACAUUUAUCUGGGGAGAGCUAACAUCUUUAGUAUGUUAGUGGAAUCUUCCAACCCAAGAAAACUGUAUGUCUCUCCAUACAAGACAUGCCACGUCUUCUUGGAUCACUGUUACUAGCACUUUGUAAUUCUAAGUAGCCCCCCAGUACAUAGUUGUAUAUUCUUCGUUGUGGGGCCUUCUAGUUGUGGCAUGCGGGACACUACCUCAGUGCGGUUUGAUGAGCAGUGCCAUGUCCGCGCCCAGGACUUGAACCAACGAAACAUUGGGCUGCCUGCAGUGGAGCACGCGAACCCAACCACUCGGCCACGGGGCCAGCCCCCCAUAUAUCAUUAUUUUUGAAAUUAGCCCUGAGCUAACUGCAGUCAAUCCUCCUCUUCUUGCUGAGGAACACUGGCCCUGAGCUAACAUCCGUGCCCAUCUUCCUCUACUUUCUAUGUGGGAUGCCUACCACAGCAUGGCAUGCCAAGCUGUGCCAUGUCUGCACCUGGGAUCUGAACCAGCGAGCCCCGGACUGCCGAAGCGGAACAUGCACA
ensembl:lncRNA